rnacentral:rRNA from 1 species
AUUGCUAUUGGGGUCCGAUUUAGCCAUGCUAGUUGCGCGACUUAGAUCGCAGCGGAAAGCUCAGUAACACGUGGCCAAACUACCCUGUAGAGGAGCAUAAUCUCGGGAAACUGAGGCUAAUACUCCAUAUCGUACUCACGUUGGAACAACAGAGUACUUCAAACGCUACGGCGCUGCAGGAUGUGGCUGCGGCCGAUUAGGUAGACGGUGGGGUAACGGCCCACCGUGCCGAUAAUCGGUACGGGUUGUGAGAGCAAGAGCCCGGAGACGGAAUCUGAGACAAGAUUCCGGGCCCUACGGGGCGCAGCAGGCGCGAAACCUUUACACUGCACGCCAGUGCGAUAAGGGGACCCCAAGUGCGAGGGCAUAUAGUCCUCGCUUUUGUGUACCGUAAGGUGGUACACGAAUAAGGGCUGGGCAAGACCGGUGCCAGCCGCCGCGGUAAUACCGGCAGCUCAAGUGAUGACCGAUUUUAUUGGCCUAAAGCGUCCGUAGCUGGCCGCGUAGGUUCGUCGGGAAAUCCACCUGCUCAACAGGUGGGCGUCCGGCGAAAACCACGUGGCUUGGGAUCGGAAGGCUCGAGGGGUACGUCCGGGGUAGGAGUGAAAUCCCGUAAUCCUGGACGGACCGCCGAUGGCGAAAGCACCUCGAGAAGACGACUCCGACAGUGAGGGACGAAAGCUGGGGUCUCGAACCGGAUUAGAUACCCGGGUAGUCCCAGCCGUAAACGAUGCCUGUUAGGUGUGGCACCGACUACGAGUCGGUGCUGUGCCGUAGGGAAGCCGAUAAACAGGCCGCCUGGGAAGUACGUCCGCAAGGAUGAAACUUAAAGGAAUUGGCGGGGGAGCACUACAACCGGAGGAG